rnacentral:lncRNA from 1 species
UUAACUUUAUUAUAAGACUUUACAAAUGAACUGUCAUGUCCUGUUCUGGCUCUCAUUUUCUCAAAGGUCACAUAAUAAGAUUUGAAUAAAGCAAUAAAUACAUAUUUAUUUUCUAUGGAGAAUGUAACCUCACUCUUUUAUCAAGGUUUUUAUUCCAAGACUUUUCUGUAUUAUUUUCUUUUUUUAACUCAUUUUUUCUCAUUUCCUACCAUUCCAACAUUCCACCUGAACUCCAAAUGCCCUUUCUCCUCAUUGAUCUAUGGGUAAAACCUGUUCAUUCCAGAAUCAGUACUGCUUACAUGGAAUAAUGUCCUCCACUUCCUCCAAUAAUCCCAGCCCUAUUCAUUCCAUUCAUUUAUACCUGUAUGAUUACACCUUCUUCAUGUUCUCUCUCACCAUUCCCCAUCUUUCCCAUGUAGUAUCAGUAGAUACACCACAGAAAUUUUCUGAAUUACACAGAAUUGGUUCUCAGUAUUUGCUAGAUAGAAA